rnacentral:lncRNA from 1 species
CUCACCGAUUGCGAAGGGAGCUCUCACAAUCUCCAAAUGGGAGCUAGAGUCCUUCCAAUCUAACCUAAACAAAGGUUCUAAACCCAUCAAUUUGGUACAAAAGCCCUCAAAACGGAAAUCCCCAAAUUUAACCCUAAAAUCCAAAAUCUAGGGUUUGAUCUAGUAAAAUCCAACAAAACUAAAUCUAGAGGAAAGGAUCUAGUUACUAACCUCUUAGAAGCUCCAAACUAGGCCCCAAUCCAAAUGGGGUUGAAGAUUCUCCCUCCACAAAGCUCCAAACCUAAGCUCCAAGCUUCAACAAUGGUGGAAAUAGCUCCAAAAUGCAAAAGAGAGGGAAAAACCAUCAAAACCCAAGCAAAAAGGUGAUCAAAACCAAAGGGAGGAGAAGAGGUUCUCCCUACCUUGCUUCUCCACGGUUCCCAGCUCAGGGAGAGCUCCAUGGGGCGUGGGGACACAUAUAAAAGUCCACAAAUGCGAAAAACCCCCUGCAGUUUCGAACAGUUCAAAUACUGCACUGCGUACCGGUACACGGGCCCGCGUACCGGUACACCCUCUACGAAAAUGCCCAGCCCGAGCCUCGGGUUGGCUGAGAAGCGGCCAAAGUCGAUGGCUGUACCGGUACAGCCAUCACUCCCGUACCGGUACACAGCCCUCAGAAGGCAACCCGAGAGCUAACCAAAAAUCUGAUAUUUUCGGGUUUUGGUACACCGUUUCAAACCACAAUUCUCGGGACUCGAACCAUGGGUCGGAACACUGUCUACGACCCUUCAGAAAGUCUGAGAUGGCUCGUCACACAGAUCAAACACUCGAACCUCGCAAUUUGCAAAGGUCCAGUGCGUCACAGUUUAGCAUUCUAAUUGGGACUUGGAAUCAUACUCCAUAUAUUAGACAUGGCAAAUGUAAUAUGUCUUGGACAUAAAUCUCAUUGGACAUAGGAGAUUGCAUUAGGCCAUAAAGUGGCUUCGGACUUGAAUAACUUGUGAGUUAGGGAGCUAAUGUCGUAAUGCGACAUCGAGCUCUUGCUAUGACUGAGCCUAACAAAGUAAUGCCAUAGAGAGGCAAUAGACUUGAAUGAUAUGUGAAUUGUAUGUGCAUAUUAAUAUUAUGAGAAUUAUGCUAAAUUGGUAGUUGCGUUGGAAAGUGUAUGCAUGUAGCAUUAUGAGAACUAUACUACUAUGUUGAUAGUUGCAUACGGACGCAUUGAAACCAUAUGUUAGUGGAUAGAUGCAUGUUAAUAUUUAUAUGCAUUGUGGAAUACAUGCUAGGUACAUAUUAGCAAUGUGAGAUCAUGCUAGAGAGCAUGCGUAUUAACCUAUUAUUGAUAGGGUAAGCUAAUGUCAUAAAGAGGCAUUGGGCUUGGAAUUGGUAUAUUAAGCUAAUGUCAUAAAGCGACAUUGAGUUUGGGACAUGUAUGAACCUAGUAAAUAAUGCCAUAAAGAGGCAUGAAAAUUGGAACAUGCUUGGAUAUAGUAAUGUUCUAGUGUCCUAAAGAGGCACUAGACUUAGUGAAUGUUGGAACUUCACUUUGAGACAUAGACUAGACCCUUGGGGUUACUAGUGGCUAUUCUAUGUUAGAGACAUGAUGACGAGAUCCGUGACAUGAUGACUAUGCUUGCUUGCCAUUUGUGCUCAUUCGCACAUGCUUGUGAGGGUCGCUCCCUACAAGCCGGCACUCCGGAGUUGGCCUUUGCGACGCAGUUCGCGCGUGCGGGAUUGAGACGCCUGUAGGGUCGCGUGGGACAGCCUCAUUCCAGCGUGGGAUGAUGAGCUACCACGGGCAGCUAGGCGGCGAGGCGCCUGUAGGGUCGUGUGGGACAGACUCAUUCCUAGCGUGGAAUGAUGGGCUACCACAGGCAGCUAGGCGGCACAAGCCGGACUACACUUGUGUAGGUCCUAAAACAAGAUUGAACAAUGACAUUAAACUGGUGUAUAACAAUCACUACUAGAUAGGCUUAGUAGUUGGUUUACUUGGACAUGCUUUUAGCAUAGUAUUGGACAUUUGGACAUGUAGUAUACGUGAUAGUAUUACUUGUUGCAUCAUAGCAUACUUGGUAGCCGUGAUAGAACAUAGUAUGUAUGUAUUGGCAUAUUGGAUCAGGAUAGAGUAGAUGUACUCCAUGUUCUUAUCAUAUAUACUUGUGGCAUAGCAGUAUAGCAUUUCUUUAUAUGCUUUUAUUUCCGCAGUUGUUAUUUCAUUUUCUAUAUCUGCUCAUGACUUGGGCCUAGUGGUGCAUUUUGCUAAGGUCAGUAAUUGCCCACUGGGAACUAUAAAUUAUAGUUCUCACGCCCCCUGUUUUAUGUUUUCUUUCAGAGCCUUCCACCCCGGGAGAGGCUCGGGAUCGCGGGAAAGGAAUCGCCUCGAGUUAGCUAGCGAGGAAUUCGACGAUAGGUGGUCUACCUCUCUUCUGAGUUUUGUUUGGAGAGGUUGAGAGACUCGUACCCUUUUUGUAGAGACCACCCCCUAUAUGUAGCUUGAGACUUAUAAUGUAUUAUUUUACGUUUUGCCUUCGUGGUUUAGUUUCCCUUGUUUCUACCUGUUGUUAGAACCUAGCUGUAUACUUGCUCUGAUAUCUUUAGAUACACUCUAUUUGUUGUUCAUUUAUUUGCUAUUGUUGUAGACGCCUUAUAUGUGUAGGCAUAUGGCGGGUCUGGACACGCACCGGGCGGGCCUAGGGCGAGUCCCGGGGCGUGACAAAACUAAAUUAAGGGGUGGAGAAUGUAACAUAUAACAUCCCUCAUAAAUCGUGCCGAGUUCCGUCAAAACGAGCGGAACGCGGAGAUGAAUGAGUUUGAGUGGACCCUAAGCACAUUAGAGUCCAUAAGUGAGGCUAAAAGGGGACCCGAGAGAGUAAUCUGGAAAUCUGGCUAAGUCCCAGAUUUUGUGCUCUCGGGGACCGGUCCCCGUACGCGUAGCCUGCCAGGAAGUCCCAAGGCAACCGGUCCCUGGUUGGGGAGACCGGUCCUCGGGAGACCGGUCCCUGAAGGGGCAGACCGGUCCCUCGCUGCGCAACAGCCGAAAAACUCAAAAAUUCGGCUAAGUCCUGGAACACCCAUGUUCGGGAACCGGUCCCUGGUCGGGGAGACCGGUCCCCGAAGGCGAAAAAUGCCCAGUCAGGGCAGUUCAAGCGGAAUCAAGUGGAGGGGCUUAAGUGCAAUUGUUACAACACUAUAUAUGACUCAUCCCCUCUCUCCCACAGCCAUUUUCACCCUUCUCUUCCAUUUCCUCUCUUUCUCUCUCAAGAACUCUUGCUCUAGGGCUUGGGGAAGAAGAAGAAGAAGCAAAGGGAAGGUGGAUUUGGAGGCUUUGGUGGGUUCUACAAG